rnacentral:rRNA from 1 species
CCUACGGGUGGCAGCAGUGGGGGAUAUUGCACAAUGGGGGAAACCCUGAUGCAGCGACGCCGCGUGUGGGAAGACGGUCCUCUGGAUUGUACACCACUGUCCCCAGGGACGAAGAUGACGGUACCUGGGGAGGAAGCUCCGGCUAACUACGUGCCAGCAGCCGCGGUAAUACGUAGGGAGCGAGCGUUGUCCGGAAUUACUGGGUGUAAGGGGAGCGUAGGCGGGACUGCAAGUUGGGUGUCAAAUCUACCGGCUCAACCGGUAGCCGCACUCAAAACUGCAGUUCUUGAGUGAAGUAGAGGCAGGCGGAAUUCCUAGUGUAGCGGUGAAAUGCGUAGAUAUUAGGAGGAACACCAGUGGCGAAGGCGGCCUGCUGGGCUUUUACUGACGCUGAGGCUCGAAAGUGUGGGGAGCAAACAGGAUUAGAUACCCUAGUAGUC